GAUUCUGGCUCAGGAUGAACGCUAGCUACAGGCUUAACACAUGCAAGUCGAGGGGCAGCAUGGACCAAGCUUGCUUGGUCUGAUGGCGACCGGCGCACGGGUGAGUAACGCGUAUCCAACCUUCCCCCUGGUAGGGCAUAGCCCGGCGAAAGUCGGAUUAAUACCCUAUGUUCUCCUUUGAUGGCAUCUGAUGAGGAGCAAAGAUUUAUCGCCAUGGGAUGGGGAUGCGUCCGAUUAGGUUGACGGCGGGGUGACGGCCCACCGUGCCCGCGAUCGGUAGGGUUCUGAGAGGAAGGUCCCCCACAUUGGAACUGAGACACGGUCCAAACUCCUACGGGAGGCAGCAGUGAGGAAUAUUGGUCAAUGGGCGUGAGCCUGAACCAGCCAAGUAGCGUGCGGGACGACGGCCCUAUGGGUUGUAAACCGCUUUUGCAGGGGAAUAAAGUGCGGCACGCGUGCCGUUUUGCAGGUACCGCAUGAAUAAGGACCGGCUAAUUCCGUGCCAGCCGCUGC
rnacentral:rRNA from 1 species